UGGCCCAAGUUAACUUGGAAUAAAUCCAAGCCCAAGUCCAAAACAAACAGAUCAUAGCAUAACCACCUGUAAGUAAAACGAGAAACUGAAAAACAUGGCUAGUCUGUUGUCGUUGUCUCCUGCUCCUCUCUUAGGAUUCCCAAAACAGCAGCUCCCUUGCUUCUUCACUCCCAAAACAGAUAAAUUCAACAUUUGCAGAUUAAUUUCAUGGCAAACUCAUUCAAGAAAAGCAAAUAGCAGUCAGAUAAAAUUUUCUGCUUCUUUAAAUUACACAAUGGCAUCAAGUGGUGCUUAUGAGAAAUCAAAGAGAGUAUGGAUAUGGACACAAAGCAAGCAAGUGAUGACUGCUGCUGUUGAAAGAGGCUGGAACACCUUUAUCUUCUCAUCCCACCAUAAAGAACUUGUCAAUGAUUGGUCAUCAAUUGCAAUGAUAUAUCCCCUUUUUAUUGAAGAAGGAGAGGUUUUAGGCGAUGAGAACAAAAGGGUUGCCAUUAUUUUUCAGGUUUCAACUCCCCAAGAGCUACAGCAACUUCAACCAGAAAAUGCACAGGCUGAGAAUAUUGUUAUUGACUUAUUGGAUUGGCAGAUAAUACCUGCAGAGAAUAUCGUUGCUGCAUUCCAAGGCAGUCAAAAAACUGUGUUUGCCAUCUCAAAUAAUCCUUCUGAGGCACAAAUCUUCCUCGAGGCUUUGGAGCAUGGUUUGGGUGGAGUUGUUCUAAAAGUUGAGGAUGUCAAUGUUGUCUUCGAGCUCAAGGACUAUUUUGACAGAAGGAAUGAAGAAAGCAAUCUAUUGAGCUUGACAAAAGCCACUAUAACUAGAAUUCAAGUAGCUGGAAUGGGUGAUCGAGUUUGUGUGGAUCUCUGCAGCCUCAUGAAACCUGGUGAAGGACUUAUGGUUGGUUCCUUCGCUAGAGGAUUAUUCCUUGUUCACUCUGAAUGCUUGGAGUCAAGUUACAUUGCCAGCAGGCCCUUUCGUGUCAAUGCGGGGCCAGUGCAUGCGUAUGUCUCUAUUCCAGGAGGAAAGACAUGCUACCUCUCAGAGUUGAAAGCUGGCAGAGAAGUUAUCAUAGUUGACCAGAAGGGCAAGCAACGAACAGCAAUUGUUGGCCGUGUAAAGAUAGAGACUAGACCACUUAUCUUUCUGGAGGCAAAGAUAGAUUCUGAUGAUCAAAAAGUUUACAGCAUCUUCCUGCAAAAUGCAGAAACAGUUGCCUUAGUGCCUCCAUGCGAAGGAAAUGGACUGCAAAAAGUAGCUAUUCCUGUGACUUCGCUGAAAGUUGGAGAUGAAGUUUUGUUGCGCAUACAAGGUGCUGCCCGCCAUACGGGAAUAGAAAUUCAAGAAUUCAUUGUUGAGAAUUGAUUAAGAAUAAGGAUGAAUUUAUGGCACAACUAACCAGUUGGUGGUCAUCAUUUAUCCUAAACAAAUAGGAAGAUUGUCAUCAAGCAAAAAUAUUUCCAUCCAUGUCGCAUUCUUGUGCAAGAAUCGAGUUUAAGGCUGUGCCUUUUGUUUGCAAGGAGGGGUCUACAGAAAGUGAGCGUGCAAGUCUAAGUGAAGUUGUUGAUUCCUACAUUACAGAUCAGAAAGUGGGUUUUGCAGAGGAGAGAGAGAGCGAGAGAAGCAGAAGAGGAAGAUAGACCACAAAGACAGAGAGAGAGAGAGAGAGAGAGAGAGAGGUAGAAUAAAGACGACAAUGGCGUAUGAUUUGGAUUUUUUUUUUUAAAUUAAA